rnacentral:rRNA from 1 species
UAGGGAAUCUUCCGCAAUGGACGCAAGUCUGACGGAGCAACGCCGCGUGAGUGAAGAAGGAUUUCGGUUCGUAAAACUCUGUUGUUAGAGAAGAACAGCGCAUAGAGUAACUGUUAUGCGUGUGACGGUAUCUAACCAGAAAGCCACGGCUAACUACGUGCCAGCAGCCGCGGUAAUACGUAGGUGGCAAGCGUUGUCCGGAUUUAUUGGGCGUAAAGCGAGCGCAGGCGGUCAAUUAAGUCUGAUGUGAAAGCCCCCGGCUCAACCGGGGAGGGUCAUUGGAAACUGGUUGACUUGAGUGGAGAAGAGGAGAGUGGAAUUCCAUGUGUAGCGGUGAAAUGCGUAGAUAUAUGGAGGAACACCAGUGGCGAAGGCGACUCUCUGGUCUGUAACUGACGCUGAGGUUCGAAAGCGUGGGUAGCAAACAGG